rnacentral:tRNA from 1 species
GCGGGGAUAGCCGAGCCUGGUCAAAGGCGCGGGACUUAAGAUCCCGUCCCUCAGGGGUUCGUGGGUUCGAAUCCCACUCCCCGCA